UGGGGAAUUUUGCACAAUGGGGGAAACCCUGAUGCAGCGACGCCGCGUGAUUUAGAAGGCCUUCGGGUUGUAAAAAUCUUUUCUAUGGGAAGAAAAUGACAGUACCAUAGGAAUAAGGACCGGCUAAUUACGUGCCAGCAGCCGCGGUAAUACGUAAGGUCCGAGCGUUGUCCGGAAUCACUGGGCGUAAAGGGUACGUAGGCGGGUAAGCAAGUUAGAAGUUAAAUCCUAUAGCUCAACUAUAGUAAGCUUUUAAAACUGCUCAUCUUGAGGUAUGGAAGGGAAAGUGGAAUUCCUAGUGUAGCGGUGAAAUGCGCAGAUAUUAGGAGGAAUACCGGUGGCGAAGGCGACUUUCUGGCCAUAACCUGACGCUGAGGUACGAAAGCGUGGGUAGCAAACAGG
rnacentral:rRNA from 1 species